rnacentral:tRNA from 1 species
UCCCUGGUGGUUCAGUGGUUAAGACUCUGAGCUCCCACAGCAUGGGGCCCCGGGUUCAAUCCCUGGUCAGGGAA